rnacentral:rRNA from 1 species
UGAGCAAUCUGCCCUUCUCAUCGGAAUAAGCGUUGGAAACGACGUCUAAUGCCGAAUACGACCUCCUUUCGCAUGAUCGGAGGUGGAAAGCUCCGGCGGAGAAGGAUGAGCUCGCGGCCUAUCAGCUAGUUGGUGUGGGUAUGGCCCACCAAGGCGACGACGGGUAGCCGGCCUGAGAGGGUGACCGGCCACACUGGGACUGAGACACGGCCCAGACUCCUACGGGAGCAG